UUGAAUCGUAUACCCAGUAAUGGCAGCAUUUCCAUCAUCUUUUGGUGGAGUCCAUGUUAAGGCAACAUUUUCUCCCCAGACAUCUUCAAUCUUCACCACCUGGGGUGGACCUGGACGGUCUGUCACAAAAGAGUUUGGUCAGAAGUUCACAUCCCUAAAUCCAAGGCUGACUGUGCCUUUGUGGAUAAGCAGUGUUAGAGUUGCGUGGUCAAUCACAGGCUAUUUCCAGAAAUCUAAAUCAUAAUGGAUUUAAACCUAUCAGAAAGAAAAAAGUAAAGAAUUUGCUCCAUUUCAAACACACACCAGACUUGUGGUCAGAAGCCCACAAAAUAUUUAAGACUGGAAAAUUAGGAUUGGCAUUAUCAUAAACAGAAUGAGUACCUCCUAUGAAAAGAGCCUGCCAAUUUCAAUAGCUGAAAUACAGCAUUCUUUAUUGUAGUAGUUGGAGGGAAAGGCAGAUGAAGCUUAAUUGAGGAAGCCCAACUAGAGACAUAUAGGACUGCUGAAAUCAUAACCUGUGGAAUCCAGGACUGAACUUUAUUGAGCUAGACCAGAUUAUGAUCAUCUGCCACUUGAUGACAGCAAAGCCAAAUACACAUCUAUUCUCCUGAUGACAUCUCAAAUUGACCAUCCAACACAUAAAUGAGCUAAAUCAAAUGAAAACAAAUGUGGUUGAAU